UCCGCCAUAACCUAAAAUACUUUCACAUGAAAAAAUUCUGAAAAAACCUUGACAUGUUUUGCUCAAAAAUCGAGCAUAUAAAAAAUCCAACAUAUUUUACUAUCGAAUGUUUGAAGCUAUAUCCGUGACUAGAAACAGAUUGGUAGCCAAAAGCAUUCGGCGAACACACACGGAUCCUAUCAUGUUCUCGACUAGUCAAGUCAGGUGCUUUUUUAUAUAUUGAGGUUAUAAUAAUUGAAAAGAACCUAUUUCCUGUUGUAGGAAAGUGGUAACAAUUAACAAAGAUGUAUGAUUAUCCUGAUUAGCACUAAACGAGAGAGUGAUUAAAGAGGAAGCAAAG
rnacentral:lncRNA from 1 species